rnacentral:rRNA from 1 species
AGUGAACGCUGGCGGUAGGCCUAACACAUGCAAGUCGAACGGCAGCACAGUAAGAGCUUGCUCUUACGGGUGGCGAGUGGCGGACGGGUGAGGAAUACAUCGGAAUCUACUUUUUCGUGGGGGAUAACGUAGGGAAACUUACGCUAAUACCGCAUACGACCUACGGGUGAAAGCAGGGGAUCUUCGGACCUUGCGCGAUUGAAUGAGCCGAUGUCGGAUUAGCUAGUUGGCGGGGUAAAGGCCCACCAAGGCGACGAUCCGUAGCUGGUCUGAGAGGAUGAUCAGCCACACUGGAACUGAGACACGGUCCAGACUCCUGAGGGAGGCAGCAGUGGAGAAUAUUGGACGAUGGGCGCAAGCCUGAUCCAGCCAUACCGCGUGGGUGAAGAAGGCCUUCGGGUUGUAAAACCCUUUUGUUGGGAAAGAAAAGCAGCAGGUUAAUACCCCGCUGUUCUGACGGUACCCAAAGAAUAAGCACCGGCUAACUUCGUG